AACGAACGCUGGCGGCAGGCCUAACACAUGCAAGUCGAACGCCGUAGCAAUACGGAGUGGCAGACGGGUGAGUAACGCGUGGGAACCUACCUUACGGUCGGGAAUAGCCCAGGGAAACUUGGGGUAAUACCGGAUACGCCCUUACGGGGAAAGAUUUAUCGCCCAAGGAUGAGCCCGCGUAGGAUUAGCUAGUUGGUGAGGUAAAGGCUCACCAAGGCGACGAUCCUUAGCUGGUCUGAGAGGAUGAUCAGCCACACUGGGACUGAGACACGGCCCAGACUCCUACGGGAGGCAGCAGUGGGGAAUAUUGGACAAUGGGCGAAAGCCUGAUCCAGCAAUGCCGCGUGAGUGAUGAAGGCCUUAGGGUUGUAAAGCUCUUUACCCGGGAUGAUAAUGACAGUACCGGGAGAAUAAGCCCCGGCUAACUCCGUGCCAGCAGCCGCGGUAAU
rnacentral:rRNA from 1 species